CAAUAGCGUAUAUUAAAGUUGUUGCAGUUAAAAAGCUCGUAGUUGGAUUUCUGGUCGGAAGCUCCUGUCCUCUGAUGAGCGUACAAGUGCGUCCUACCAUCCUUCUGUUAACCUUUAAGGCUUUCGCGGCUUUCUAGGGGCUCAGAUAUUUUACCUUGAGAAAAUUAGAGUGUUUCAGGAAGGCUAGCGCCGGAAUACAUUAGCAUGGAAUAAUGGAAUAGGACUUUUGCCUCUUCUGUUGGUCAUGAGGCUCGAGUAAUGAUUAAUAGGGAUAGUUGGGGGCAUUAGUACUUAACUGUCAGAGGUGAAAUUCUCGGAUUUGUUAAAGACUAACUUAUGCGAAAGCAUUUGCCAAGGAUGUUUUCAUUAA
rnacentral:rRNA from 1 species